ensembl:lncRNA uncharacterized LOC114853786
AUGGCUGGAAGUGAGCCAACCCAGCUGACUGUGAGCCUACUGCAUGAAAGUGGGGGAAGCUUUUCAGAGACGGAGAUUCAACCUGAAGACCAAGACGAGGAACUGCAAAUGACACUGAGAAGUCAUAACACUUUGGGGGACCUCUACCCCAGCAUGAUCAGUCGAAUAGAAACGGCCUGGCAUCGAAAUAAUGUGUCUCAGGCUGCUGACGCUGUGCUGACCAAGUACCGCAAAUGGCGAAAGCAUUCAAGAAGCAAUAUCAGCAUCAACACUUCAAUUGUUUCACUGCAGCAUAGCAAGGAAAGGCAGAUGACCAGCAGCAUUCUGCUCCCGGAAGACCUCCCAGAAAGAGGGCAGUACACAAGGGCUGAAUAUUUGCCACGGUCUCCUUUGAAGAUGGUACAUAAGCUGCAGGACAGGAUGGCACAACAGCAGUUGCCUGGUAGGCAGACGAGCUCACAGACAAGAGAGCAGCACAAGCCUAUCCUCUCGAUGGACUUUUAUGAGCCACCUGAGACUUCAAGGCCACAAAAAAUCUUGCUUAACAAGACCUUCUCUGUGCCUGAUUUGACCCUUCUAGGAGAACAGUCCUAUUCCUAUCAUGGGAGUCCUUCACGGCCUUGCUAUCCCACUGCAAACGCAGCCUUGCAGAGUUCUCUUUGGAAUAAAAGGCUUUCCCUGUCUGCACACAAACAGCAGGCUGCUGAAGGCUCUGUGUUUGCAUCAGAAAACAAUGCUGUUAAUGACAGACAUGUCUAUAGCUCCCCAGUCAGACAAAGUCCAUCGAAGAUGAGGAUGUUGACCAGCUUCAGUGGUUCACCUAGAUCCUUUUACAGAAGCCCCAAAGAAUCACGUAGAGAAAGCUUUUCAAGAGAGACUGCACAGUCUUCAUCAGUGUCAACAUUUCUGUCCUCCCCUUUGCAAAAACCUACUGGGAACAGGAUACUCUACCCUCAACACUCCAACCACACUCUCCAGCUGCCUUCACUUCAGUCAGCUAGUCCAGAAGGUCGUGUCAGGCUCCGAAGGCAUCUUUUCUGCGAUUCAUCCCAGCCAGUACUCAGUACUUCCCACUCACCAAAGCAGAUCGAUGAAGACUUUAAAAAACUGUACCACAAGUUUGUAUGUCAGAACAAGUCUUUCUAUAAUAUCCCUCCCUGUCGUCUCUGUGCUGAACGCUCUAGAGCCAACCAAAGUCACUCGUCCUCGGUGCUGGCUGCACUGGCCUUGUCACCUCACCGCUCUGUCUUGAGGAAGCGCCAAAGAGAGUCAGGCUCGGACAGCCGCCCCCACUCUAAGCGCUCCAGGGAAGAGUAUUAUACAUACUCCCCAGGCUCCAAACGUCGUGAGAAUGAAGUGCUGGGGCACUGUCUUCCUUCAUCUCAGCUUGAGCAUCAUCAUGACCGUAAACGCAGUGUGUUUCAAAAUGUCGGUACCCAGCACCACUCAGCAGAUGCCAGGAGGAUUCAAGGUCUGACUUUGUCUGGCUACGGUACGGCUCUCCCACAAUGUCUUACUUAUUGCAUGCUGUUUCUACUGUUUAUCUGCUUUAUAAUGGCCUUUGGUUUAUUGUUGUGCUUUAACAGGUAUGUGAGUGUAGAGCAGCACACAGCUACUGCCACAGGUGCAGGAAAUGGUGAAAACAAACCAGUCAUGGGCAAAACCUGCUCAGAGACGUUCAUACAAGUCAGACUGGAGGGAAAAAACACAAUAUUUCAGUUCAUAUUUUAUGAUCCAACCAAGUUCAAGUGUUGUGUAGUAGUCAGAUAUUUCCAGUACAGGUAUUGGAUUAUUAGUGCACAAAGGAGCAUUUGACAGUUGUUGCAGUUUAAGCUCAAGAAAUUUUAAUAAUGUAACAAAGCUAUUAAGGUGUUAAAUUUAAGCGCUCGUUUAUUUAGUUUGUGUUUUUGUUUUAGUCCUGUGGAGGCUGGUUAUGCGUUUGUUAGCUCAGUAUUUGUGAAUCAUUAAAAUAAAACCCAGUUGUUUGUUUCUCA